rnacentral:rRNA from 1 species
GUCCACGCCCUAAACGAUGUCAACUAGGUGUUGGGGGGAGCGAUUUCUCAGUACCGUAGCUAACGCGCGAAGUUGACAGCCUGGGGAGUACGGCCGCAAGGUUAAAACUCAAAGGAAUUGACGGGGACCCGCACAAGCGGUGGAUGAUGUGGAUUAAUUCGAUGCAACGCGAACAACCUUACCUACCCUUGACAUGUCCGGAACCCUGCUGAGAGGUGGGGGUGCCCGAAAGGGAAUCGGAACACAGGUGCUGCAUGGCUGUAGU